UACGAAGGGGGCUAGCGUUGCUCGGAAUCACUGGGCGUAAAGGGCGCGUAGGCGGCUCUGCACGUUCGUUGUGAAAAUCGCCCGGCUCAACUGGGCGGGGUCAGCGGAUACGGCAGAGCUUGAGCAAGCUAGGGGCAAUGGAAUUCCCGGUGUAGUGGUGGAAUGCGUAGAUAUCAGGAGGAACACCGGUGGUGUAGACGGCUUCUGGACCGUAACUGACGCUGAGACACGAAAGCGUGGGUAGCAAACAGG
rnacentral:rRNA from 1 species